rnacentral:rRNA from 1 species
GACGAACGCUGGCGGCGUGCUUAACACAUGCAAGUCGAACGAAGUGGCGAACGGGUGAGUAAUGUGUAAUCAACCUGCCCUUCAGAGGGGGACAACAGUUGGAAAAGACUGCUAAUACCGCAUACUGAAGGCGGGGGUGGCGUGUGAUUAGCUAGUUGGAGGGGUAACGGCCCACCAAGGCGAUGAUCAGGAGCCGGUCUGGAGGGAUGAACGGCCACAUUGGGACUGGGACACGGCCCAGACUCCUGCGGGAGGCAGCAGUGGGGAAUCUUCCGCAAUGGACGAAAGUCUGACGAAGCAACGCCGCGUUGGUGAUGACGGCCUUCGGGUUGUAAAGCUCUGUUAAUCGGGACGCGGUACCGGAAUAGAAAGCCACGGCUAACUACGUGCCAGCAGCCGCGGUAAUAC